GGAUAAACGCUGGCGGCGCACAUAAGACAUGCAAGUCGAACGGACUUAACUCAUUCUUUUAGAUUGAGAGCGGUUAGUGGCGGACUGGUGAGUAACACGUAAGCAACCUGCCUAUUAGAGGGGAAUAACAGUGAGAAAUCAUUGCUAAUACCGCGUAUGCUAACAGUAUCGCAUGAUACAGUUAGGAAAGGAGUAAUCCGCUAAUAGAUGGGCUUGCGUCUGAUUAGAUAGUUGGUGGGGUAACGGCCUACCAAGUCGACGAUCAGUAGCCGGACUGAGAGGUUGAACGGCCACAUUGGGACUGAGAUACGGCCCAGACUCCUACGGGAGGCAGCAGUCGGGAAUAUUGCGCAAUGGAGGAAACUCUGACGCAGUGACGCCGCGUAUAGGAAGAAGGUUUUCGGAUUGUAAACUAUUGUCGUUAGGGAAGAUACAAGACAGUACCUAAGGAGGAAGCCCCGGCUAACUAUGUG
rnacentral:rRNA from 1 species